GGCCGCCUAUACAUGCAAGUCGAACGAUAGAUACCAGCUUGCUGGUAUCAAAAGUGGCGCACGGGUGCGUAACGCGUAUGCAACCUGCCUCAAUCAGGGGGAUAGCCCGAAGAAAUUCGGAUUAACACCGCAUAAAAACACAGUACAGCAUUGUACAAUGUUCAAAUAUUUAUAGGAUUGAGAUGGGCAUGCGUGUCAUUAGCUAGUUGGCGGGGUAACGGCCCACCAAGGCGACGAUGACUAGGGGAUCUGAGAGGAUGACCCCCCACACUGGUACUGAGACACGGACCAGACUCCUACGGGAGGCAGCAGUAAGGAAUAUUGGUCAAUGGAGGCAACUCUGAACCAGCCAUGCCGCGUGCAGGAAGACAGCCCUCUGGGUCGUAAACUGCUUUUAUUCGGGAAUAAACCUUAUUACGUGUAAUAAGCUGAAUGUACCGAARGAAUAAGGAUCGGCUAACUCCGUGCCAGCAGCCGCGGUAAUACGGAGGAUCCAAGCGUUAUCCGGAUUUAUUGGGUUUAAAGGGUGCGUAGGCGGCUUAUUAAGUCAGGGGUGAAAGACGGUGGCUCAACCAUCGCAGUGCCCUUGAUACUGAUGAGCUUGAAUGAACUAGAGGUAGGCGGAAUGUGACAAGUAGCGGUGAAAUGCAUAGAUAUGUCACAGAACACCGAUUGCGAAGGCAGCUUACUAUGGUUUUAUUGACGCUGAGGCACGAAAGCGUGGGGAUCAAACAGGAUUAGAUACCCUGGUAGUCCACGCCCUAAACGAUGAAUACUCGCUGUUAGCGAUAUACAGUUAGCGGCUAAGCGAAAGCGUUAAGUAUUCCACCUGGGGGAGUACGCCCGCAAGGGUGAAACUCAAAGGAAUUGACGGGGGCCCGCACAAGCGGAGGAGCAUGUGGUUUAAUUCGAUGAUACGCGAGGAACCUUACCCGGGCUUGAAAGUUAGUGAAUUAUCUAGAGAUAGAUAAGUGAGCAAUCACACGAAACUAGGUGCUGCAUGGCUGUCGUCAGCUCGUGCCGUGAGGUGUUGGGUUAAGUCCCGCAACGAGCGCAACCCCUAUGUUUAGUUGCCAGCACGUCAAGGUGGGGACUCUAAACAGACUGCCUGUGCAAACAGAGAGGAAGGAGGGGACGACGUCAAGUCAUCAUGGCCCUU
rnacentral:rRNA from 1 species